AUUUUCAGAAAAAUCUACUGGACACCGAGAUGACUUUACGGAUGACUUGUGAGGGAUGUCUUUCUGUACCUGCGGCUGUAAUCAAAGAGAACUCCAUUUUAACAUGACAAGUAAAUUUCAACUAAAAGGGAAAAAAUGUGCAAUUUGUUAGAAAUGGACAGGUCUCAGCAUUGAUAAUGUGUUUCUCAGCUCGAGCAUCCAUUUCCAAGUAGUCCUCAAAUCGAUGUCGAGCAGAUGAUCCACGUGAU
rnacentral:lncRNA from 1 species